rnacentral:rRNA from 1 species
CUGGCUCAGGACAACGCUGGCGGCGUGCUUCAUACAUGCAAGUCGAACGAGAAGCUGACUUCGGUCAGUGGAAAGUGGCGGACGGGUGAGUAAUAUGUAGGAAAUCCUGCUCUAGGAGAGGGGGACAACAGAGGGAAACUUCUGCUAAUACCCCAUAUGAGCUUAGUUGAAAUACUAAUCUUGAAAACUCCGGUGCUCUGGGAUGAGCCUGCAUCUGAUUAGCUAGUUGGCGGUGUAAUGGACCACCAAGGCGACGAUCAGUAGCUGGUUUGAGAGGAUGAUCAGCCACAAUGGGACUGAGACACGGCCCAUACUCCUACGGGAGGCAGCAGUAGGGAAUUUUGCGCAAUGGGCGAAAGCCCUGACGCAGCAACGCCGCGUGAACGAUUAAGCCCUUCGGGGUGUAAAGUUCUGUCAGUGGGGACGAAACUUGACGGUACCCACAGAGGAAGCACCGGCUAACUCCGUGCCAGCCGCCGC